rnacentral:rRNA from 1 species
GACGGAGGAUGCAAGUGUUAUCCGGAAUCACUGGGCGUAAAGCGUCUGUAGGUGGUUUAAUAAGUCAACUGUUAAAUCUUGAGGCUCAACCUCAAAAUCGCAGUCGAAACUAUUAGGCUAGAGUAUAGUAGGGGUAAAGGGAAUUUACGGUGUAGCAGUGAAAUGCGUAGAGAUCGUAAGGAAGACCAGUGGCGAAGGCGAGUUUCUGGACGGGUACUGACGCUGAGGCACGAAGGCCAGGGGAGCAAACGGG